rnacentral:tRNA from 1 species
GGCCGCUUAGCUCAGUCGGAAGAGCGCCCGUUUCACAUGCGGGAGGUCGUAGGUUCGAGCCCUACAGCGGCCACCA